AACGAACGCUGGCGGCAUGCCUAACACAUGCAAGUCGAACGAGACCUUCGGGUCUAGUGGCGCACGGGUGCGUAACGCGUGGGACCCUGCCUUUAGGUUCGGAAUAACUCAGAGAAAUUUGAGCUAAUACCGGAUGAUGUCUUCGGACCAAAGAUUUAUCGCCUUUAGAUGGGCCCGCGUUGGAUUAGCUAGUUGGUGGGGUAAAGGCCUACCAAGGCGACGAUCCAUAGCUGGUCUGAGAGGAUGAUCAGCCACACUGGGACUGAGACACGGCCCAGACUCCUACGGGAGGCAGCAGUGGGGAAUAUUGGACAAUGGGCGAAAGCCUGAUCCAGCAAUGCCGCGUGAGUGAUGAAGGCCUUAGGGUUGUAAAGCUCUUUUACCCGAGAUGAUAAUGACAGUAUCGGGAGAAUAAGCUCCGGCUAACUCCGUGCCAGCCGCCGCGGUAAUAC
rnacentral:rRNA from 1 species